UACGUAGGGUGCAAGCGUUGUCCGGAAUUAUUGGGCGUAAAGAGCUCGUAGGCGGUUUGUCGCGUCUGCUGUGAAAACCCGAGGCUCAACCUCGGGCCUGCAGUGGGUACGGGCAGACUAGAGUGCGGUAGGGGAGAUUGGAAUUCCUGGUGUAGCGGUGGAAUGCGCAGAUAUCAGGAGGAACACCGGUGGCGAAGGCGGGUCUCUGGGCCGGUACCGACGCUGAGGAGCGAAAGCGUGGGGAGCGAACAGG
rnacentral:rRNA from 1 species